AACGAACGCUGGCGGCAUGCCUAACACAUGCAAGUCGAACGAGACCUUCGGGUCUAGUGGCGCACGGGUGCGUAACGCGUGGGAACCUGCCCUUAGGUUCGGAAUAACUCCCCGAAAGGGGUGCUAAUACCGGAUAAUGUCUUCGGACCAAAGAUUUAUCGCCUUUGGAUGGGCCCGCGUUGGAUUAGCUAGUUGGUAGGGUAAAAGCCUACCAAGGCGACGAUCCAUAGCUGGUCUGAGAGGAUGAUCAGCCACACUGGGACUGAGACACGGCCCAGACUCCUACGGGAGGCAGCAGUGGGGAAUAUUGGACAAUGGGCGAAAGCCUGAUCCAGCAAUGCCGCGUGAGUGAUGAAGGCCUUAGGUUUGUAAAGCUCUUUUACCCGGGAUGAUAAUGACAGUACCGGGAGAAUAAGCUCCGGCUAACUCCGUG
rnacentral:rRNA from 1 species